CAGGAACAGAGGGGUUGAGGGCCCUGCUCAAUGAGCUUACAUGCUAGAGGGAGUGGGGUAAAGUGACACAAAAAGGUAAGGAUAGUAUUAGACUAAUGACAGUUGCAGAAGAGGAAUCAGUCAGGAGCUAUUAACAGUUUAAUUGAUACGCUUUUAUGAAGAAGUGGGUUUUUAAAGAUUUUUUGAAGGAGUGGAGACUGGGUGAGCAUCUAACGGAG